rnacentral:sRNA from 2 species
CCGCGGGCCGUGUCAACCGGGCGUGACGGUACGGUGAACAGGAAGUCUUUUUCCCGGUUUCUCUUCCUGGCCAACGAAACGGCAGACGAGCGCCUUGUUCCGUCCGGCCC